rnacentral:rRNA from 1 species
GGGUUAAACCUGAUGAACCUAAAAUAUUCAAUAUAAAAAAUUCAACAUUAUAGAUAUUUAUUAAUUUUAAUAAAUAUUAAUAUUGUGCACUUUUUUUAUAUAUGAACAUUGUAAUCUGUUAAUUUAUAUAUAUAUAUAUAAUUUAUCAAAAGAUCCUAUAGUAAAAGUUUUAUUAUUUAAAUUAAUAAAAUUAAUUUUAUUAAUUAUAAUAAAAACUAUUUUAGGUAUCAGAUAAAUAAUUGACAGAUUGAAAAAAUAUAAACGUUUUAACAAUUUUUAAUUGUUUAUAAAAAUAAUAAUAAAUUUAUUUAUUAUUAUUAUUUAUAUACGUUUAUAUGAUUAACAAUGCAAUUAAGAUUUAGGAUACCUUCAGG